AUCGAUCAAUCGAUCGAUCCGUAAAGCAACCUUUUUGGAUUUGGUCGGUUUUUCUCGUCCAUCUUCGUGGACUGUUCGAGAGAAACGUCGAAGCCAUCCGUCACCGAUCAUUACGCGCUCGCGGAUUUCAAUGUCCUUGUUAAAAGGGAUUGCUUCGUGUGGUGACCUACGACACGCGGCAAGCUGACGAGAAGAUAGAUGGCGGCGCACGAUUUCGCCGACUGUUCUGCUUAGCGCGCAGUCAACUUGUUACGAUUUGUUGCAGCAUGGGAGAACGGUAUCGCAGAGGAAAACCUGUACACGGGAAGCGAGACAUCUCUAUCCUGGUCUAAGUCUUUUUCAAUUCCUUUUGUUUUUCAAUUGAAAAAUAUGUAGAUAUUGUUAAACGAGAAAGUUAAAAGAAUUUAUACCCACGUAAUUAAUGUUAGGUUAAGAAAGUUAGGUUAAGAAUUGAAAAAUUUGAAUGUAUCGUUACUUGUUGCAGAUAUGUACGAAAUCUAUUAAGACUGUUUUAUGCAAAUUGCGUUAAUUGCGACAACAAAAAGCUUUCAUGACUCAAUAUAUAUUCAUCACUCUUAAUUGCUAAAUAAUAAUCGGAUGAUCCAUUAAAUCAUUGAAAAAUCGUGCAAAUUUAAUUCUAUAGAAACGAACAAGAAAUGUGUAUAUACAGAAUGGAUUACUGAUUAACGAAACAGGAUGAAAGUCAUGGAAUUAUCAAUAAACAUUGCAAUUUAACUUUCAUGGAGAUGACGGUCGCUUUUGAUUUACUUAACAUGUUUCGUUUAGCAAGAACAAGUUAGUCUCUUCAGUUUAACGGGCCACCUUCGAAUACGUACAAGGUAGAUCUUCUAAGUGACGUACACGGAAAUGUUUCUUACAAAUGGUCUUAAGCAAGUUGUAAACUCGUAAAGCGCAUAAAUUCGAAUGACACGUGGAACAAGUAAGAAAGAUCCUUGCGAUUUAAGUUUUUUCUCUCUUCGUCGAUUUUUAUUGACGAAACACCUUGAAUUCCUUGAAAUCAACUCGAAGUUUAAUCCAACCAAUGGUACAUGCGCAUAAUCGCGUUCUCGUUGCUUGUCACGGAGCCCGCUACGUUUCCGUGAGUGCGAUUUACGCCGUGAGCGUGGUCGUCGGUCGAAGCCAGGAUAAGCGGCGUUUUAUGGAGCCCCAUGCGCCGCUCACUCCAUGGCGGAAGGGACGCACUUUGUUCCGCGGCUGCGAAUGUAUCCCGAGGCCUCGAUCCACCCACAAGGAAGCACUUGAAGAAAGAGAGAGAUGCCUUGUCGCGGGAAGAUGAUUGUGGUCCAUACGACGCAUCAGUUCAAUUCUCUAUACGGUGUCGCGAUGACAAAAGAACAUUAAAGCAAUAUGACUGUCUUUUAAGAAAUAUUAUAACAUUUUAUUCUUUUGUUUUAAAUAAUUAACCAUUUCAUCGUGUUAUACAUAUUUAUAUUUAGCAUAAAUUCUGAUUUAUCGAUAUUGUGAUAUGUAUUAUCUUACAAAAUAACCGGUUGAAAUUUGAAAUGGUAAUAAUCUAAUUUAAACUUCAAAUUUGCUAAAUUUAUUUUGCUAUUUUUAUUUCUUUUUCAUAUAACGGAAUUGUGCUUGGUAUACGAUAUCUAAAAAACUGAAAUUUAUAGAAAACCAACGUCGUCUAUUUCCGGACACCCUAUAUGAGAAGAUAGGCCGAAAGACAGCAGCGGAGGAGCAGCUAGGCGCAAGAAGGAGUGACGGAGGGAGGCAGAAGAAGAGAGACUCGGCAGGUGAGGUGUCACGAGGCGCGCGAGUAAUAUAUCGUUGUUCGGCCCAUCGUAGGUGGGUGUGCUCAUCCUAUGGUGCUCGGUCUCUGGUAUCUCACCCAUGCCCCUGGCGCUAAGAGAAGAAGAAGAAGAAGAAGGCUAAUGCUGGUAUAAACGCGCCCGAUCACUUUUUUUCCCCAGGCUCUUUCUCCCUCUUACCACCAUCUCUUCCUCUCUCCUUCUCUCCCACCUUUUUUGAUGUUUCUCUUUCUCUUUCCGCAAGAUUGCUAUUAGCAAAUGCCAACGUGAAACGUGCACACCCGCGCUCACCUGCCUGCCACUACACCUCGCCGACGUUUUUCUUUUUGGUAUUUUGUAUUACAGAGAUUUAGACAGAUCAUGGAGCAGUUAUUAUAUUGUCCUUCUUGGAAUGUUUUAGAAUCUGGCUAUUGAGGAGAAAAUAAAAAUUGUUGUCAUUCUUUGAGACGUUUUUGUUGAGAAGAACAAAUUAGUCGUGCUGGAUUUAUUUAAAAAUGCAUAGAAUGGAAUGUUUUAUCUAACUAUUGAGGAGAAAAUAAAAAUUGUUGUCAUUCUUUGAGACGUUUUUGUUGAGAAGAAUAAAUUAAUCGUGCUGGAUUUAUUUAAAAAUGCAUAGAAAGGAAUGUGCAAGAUAUUAAUGAAGAGAUAAAUAAGAAAGAGCAGAUGUUGACCGUAUAAAACACCAUCUAAUUACAAGAAAAACAACCAACAACUUAUGACACAAUAGUAAUAAGAAAAUUGAUAAUACGUUGGAGAAUGAUUGGUUCCAACAAGGAUUCUUGGAAGGGCGGGGUCCACCUUCUAAUUCAUAGGCGGUGUAAUUUGUGCGUCGCCGACUAAUUGGCGGCGUUUCGCGAUUUAUGCUGUGACACCACUCGUAACAUCUGCCCCCGCUGCACAACGCCAUCGCAUCCCUCGGAUGCCCCGAAGGAGCCGCAUGAUACCGGCCAAUCAUACAUAUUAAUGGAACUCACGGGCCAACGCCGAGCCCUGAAAUUGUUCGUGCAAUCGAUUCGAGCCGGUCGAAUCGAGAUGCCAACAUGAGAUAAACCUCUAGUCUAAUGUUUUCCAACCUUUUUCGGGAAUCCAUCCCAAUCCAAAGAGUUUUUACAUUUUAUCACAUAUUAUUGAAUUAUGUUUUUAAAGUAAAUUUCAAUAGUUAGAUUAUAUAACAAAUUUUUUCUGCUUAGAAAGUAAGCAGUUAAGUUAAUGUAAAUGUUUAUAACAUGUUUGCUAUUUCAUUUUUACAGAUUUCAUGCUAUUGUGCAAAAUAUGCAAACGAUAAUUCGAGUGGCCAGAUAUAUUUGGAUGUUUAUAAUAUCUCAAACAUAUUUCAUGGAAUAUUUUUUGGAAAUAAAAAUAUGACACAGAAUGUUAAUUAUUAAAAAAGAUCUGUGAUGGAGAGAC